GCAACUCCCAGAAACUUGCAGGAACACUGCAGGAGGAAAACCAGCUACGGCCAGUUCUGCCUCCGGACAUGCGCAUGUAAAUGCCAUUAAUAUAAAAAUCACCUCAACCUCAAACCAUAGCUUGCUGUCCUUAUUACUGAGUUUAUCUCAGAUAAUGUGAGAGGGAGAAAUGGAUUUCUGCAUUUUGGCACCUCCAUCCUCUGAAAUUAGCCAGAGCUUGAGGUCUGGCUUUGUUCCAAUGCUGUCACUGCACUGACAUACCUGAGUGUGCAGGGCUUAGCACCGGCAGGUCUGCAAAUCUGAAUGAUAAGAUUUUUUUUUUAUUUUUUUUUUCAGGGAUCAAAAAAACCAAGCCCAACCUUGCUGAACUGAGUUGAGGAGUUAACAUACAAGGGAGGUAAAUAUAGCACAGCAGCAAAAGUAAGUCAAAUCUACCACUCUGGCAAAUUUGCAUAGUUCUGAAACAUUUUGCUGAAGUUAUAGAGUUUCUUUUCCAUAAUGUCAGAGUGCUCCGGGCUUGCUUAUCAUCAGACUGAAGAUAGCAUGCUUUCAGCAGGCAACUUCACUCCUUGUGUUUUUUUUUCUGGUCUGUGUCUCAUUGGUGUCUGUUCAUCAAUAUCUGGGGCUUGCAGUGGGGUGCUGGACCAUGACCAGGGUUCCUCAGCCCCAUCGUGCUAGUAUUACUUCUAAGUGAAUGAUAUGUCAUCAUGCUAUCAACUGUGGUUGGCAGCCGGUGCAACUUUGUCUACGGGAAGACAGCAGCCUGCGGUCUGCGUUUAGUGUUCUUGUUGCAUUGCUCAUCCUGUUUCCCCACUGCAGUUGUGCCCACUCAUCUCCAGGCUGUCAUGCUAUAGGGCUGCCCUCUCCUCUCUCCAGAGCUGGCUGGGACAUCUCGCUGUUUUCCUUAUCAGAGCCUGACCUCAUGGGGAGCUGGGUAAGGGGGCUGCAGUCUUUGAACAGGGUUUGCUGUGAAACUGUACCCUGAGCCUGUGUCGUAUUUACUCUUCUGUCAGGUUAAUGUUAUUGACAGGGAUACACGCACAAAGGAUGGACCCUCCUGCAGCUGUGCUAGGAGAGGAGCUCGCCCUUGUCUGCUGUCUGGUCUCACAAGAAACAUAUUAAGAAUUCAAGAAGUGGUUUCAAAAAGCAGCACUCUGUACUGAAUUUAAAUGACAACUUUUCAUAUGAAAAAGAAGUGGAAACACAUACCUUGACUGUGAAUUCAGCACUGAACAGAAUAGACUCAUCCCCUUUUGAUGACAUCAUAUUCCUGGAUUUUCUGCCUUGCUAUAUUUUAUUUCAGAAGCAAAGCUUGUCUACUCUAACCAACAUGAGACCACUCUUAUUUGACUAUGGGUGGUAAACUAUACAAAUCAAGUUAAAAUAAAGAUUUGACACAGUGUGUAUAAAACA